rnacentral:rRNA from 1 species
UCCUACGGGGGGCAGCAGUAGGGAAUCUUCCACAAUGGACGAAAGUCUGAUGGAGCAACGCCGCGUGAGUGAAGAAGGGUUUCGGCUCGUAAAGCUCUUUUGGUAGUGGAGAAAGAUAGAGGUAGUAAAUGGCCUUUAUUUGACGGUAAUUACUUAGAAAGUCACGGCUAACUACGUGCCAGCAGCCGCGGUAAUACGUAGGUGGCAAGCGUUUUUCGGAUUUAUUGUGCGGGAAGCGAGU